UCUGGCUUGAAAUACUUUUUAUAAAAUUAUUUUACAUGUAAGUUUUAGUAAGAAAUAAAUAUUUAUUAAAUCUUAAAGAUUUUAAAUAUAUUUUAAGCGCAGUAUUUUACAUUAAGUAUCAAUGAAAAUUGGAGUUAGUAAAUUUUAUAGUUUUGGUAAAAUUUGUGCCAGCCACCGCGGUUAAACAAAAGAGGCUAAAAAGUAUUAUUAGUUAUAGUUAAUUUUAAAUUAUAAAGUUUAUUAAUAGUGUUGUUGUUAGGUGAAAUUUUAAAAUGUGUCAUAAAACUUAAAAUAUUAUUAAAUGAAGCUAUGAAAGUUAGAAAAUAAACUAGGAUUAGAUACCCUACUAUUCUAAUUGUUAUUUUAAUAAAGCUUGAGUAGUAAUAGUUAUGUUCUUAAAACUCAAAGAAUUUGGCGGUGUUUUAGUCUUAUCAGAGGAAUUUGCCCCGUGAUCGAUAACCCACGUUUUACUUUACUUAAUUUGGUUAACAGCUUGUAUACCGCCGUCAGCAGGGUAUAUUUGGAAAUAAUACUCAAAAAUUAUAAAUAUAAAAUAUGUCAGGUCAAGGUGCAGUUUAUAAUUAAGAGGAGGUGAAUUACAAUAUAAGUAUAUAUAAUGGAUUUGGAAUUAAAAUUUUUCAAUGAAGGUGGAUUUGGGUGUAAUAGAAUCAAGAUAAAUUUUAUGAUAUAAAGCUCUAAAACAUGCACACAUCGCCCGUCGCUCUCAUUUUAAGGUGAGAUAAGUCGUAACAUAGUAGAUGUACCGGAAGGUGUAUCUAGAAAGUU
rnacentral:ncRNA from 1 species